GUGUCAGCAGCCGCGGUAAUACGUAGGGACCAAGCGUUGUUCGGAUUUACUGGGCGUAAAGGGCGCGUAGGCGGCGUGACAAGUCACUUGUGAAAUCUCUGAGCUUAACUCAGAACGGCCAAGUGAAACUGUUGUGCUAGAGUGCAGAAGGGGCAAUCGGAAUUCUUGGUGUAGCGGUGAAAUGCGUAGAUAUCAAGAGGAACACCUGAGGUGAAGACGGGUUGCUGGGCUGACACUGACGCUGAUGCGCGAAAGCCAGGGGAGCAAACGGGAUUAGAUACCCGCGUAGUCC
rnacentral:rRNA from 1 species